CAAAGUUGUUUGCUUGAACAAAUAUAUAGAUAUAUAAGAAUAGAAUAGUUUUAUGCUCAAUUUUUUAACUGCCUACUGGUCGCGUUUUGUGUGGCUCUACUCAGUGGUUACCCAAAUGGUGUCACCCUGUUGUUAUGAGCUUACCAUUCAAUGACAUCAAAUCACUUUUUGGUAAUAAGUUAUUAUAUCUACACCGAUGGACAUUUAUGAAGUCUUGUUACACAUACAAUAAGAAUAUUUGUCUACACCAGAUCUCGUCUGUGGAAUUUGGCUGCUAUAUGUUCUGAUCUUCUUUUAAGGAACUCAAUUCUCUAUUUAUCAACAUCUGUUCUUAUGGUGCCGUACUUUCUAAUUACUUGCCAAUGAAAACACUUUAGUGUUCCAACUCUCCUUUUAGUACCCCAUAUUAUUGCUUGCCAAUGAAAAGACUUCAUCUUUCAGGUUCUCCUUUAGCACAUCAUAAAAACAUUUAAGUGAGCGGAGACUUGAGCUUCAUUAGCUGUGAUUUUUUAUUUGUCUGCACCAAAUUCUUACCUAGUUACCUUAAUUUCUUGCUCCUACAGACUUUAAGCAGGAGCUUGGAAUUAUAGAUGAACUUCUUUCUUUGCCAAACUGAGUCUUCUAUCAACUUCCAUCCUUAUGUUUCUAGUGUUAGGCUUGUUGUUGCCCCCUAUCUUAUACAACCAAUUGCUCACCAAAAUUAGCUGGACCAGGAAUUUAGUGCUAGUCUGCUAGACUACAAUAUUGCUGUUUGUGUGUUCAUAUAUUUGGCUCAAGUAAUAACUUUAUUGCUUUUGUUCAAUUGUUGACAGACUGAAAGAAAAAUAUCCAUUGCACGCUCAUUUGCCAAAAUGAGCAGUGUCUUUGUUGGGUUCUUCUUCAUGAGCACAAGUGAACAAGCAACGUUCGAUUUCUUGAUGACUUUUAAGAUCGAACAUUUCUAAUAUUUACACAGAUUGCAAUUGUAACUUCAUAUAAUCAUUGCUUCGUUCUGUAUUAAAUUAGUUCUCCAACUUAUCAUCAAACUCCUAUCUGUCUUUGAUUUCAUUACCACCGUAGCAGGAGACUCCUCUAGAUUGGCUUAGGUUCUCUCACAAGAUCAGUUGAUUGUUCUGAAAAAUGGGAGGCUGCCAUUGAGGAGUACUUUAAGCCGAUUGACAAGGAAGCAGAGAUGAUAAUGAAAGUACAGCUCGAAGGGGAGGAGAAAACGAUGGAGGAGAUGAUGAAGGCCAUGCAAAAACAGGCUUCUUUCGAGGCAGCUGAGGCAGAAAAAAAUGGUCAUCUGCAAAAUGCAGAUACCGACCAACGUAAUCAGGAGAAAAUGUCCACAAGCAUGCAUACUGAAGUAAGAUAAUUCUACACAAGCUUUUGUCAAGCUUUUAAUGCUUUUUCUUCCCCAAAGAUUACAUGGGGUAUGGCUAAGUGAGAACCACCAAGUGCUAGAAUAACCAGAUUUUGUGAACUUACAGCAUCAGUGUUUGUUUGUUAUGUUGUGUUUGAGCUCCAUAUCAUAGUAUAACCUGAUUGAUCUCUCUCUCUCACAAAUGUGGGGUUUUUGUACUACUAACCAAUAAAUUCCCUAUAGUAGAUUUUUAUUUUUUGUUGA